rnacentral:rRNA from 1 species
UACGGAGGGUGCAAGCGUUAUCCGGAUUCACUGGGCUUAAAGGGAGCGCAGGCGGAUUGGUAAGUCAGUGGUGAAAGCCUUAAGCUUAACUUGGGAACUGCCUUUGAUACUAUCAGUCUUGAAUAUUGUUGAGGUUUGCGGAAUGGGUCGUGUAGCGGUGAAAUGCAUAGAUAUGUCCCGGAACACCUAUUGCGAAGGCAGCAGGCUAGACAGAGAUUGACGCUGAGGCUCGAAAGCGUGGGGAUCAAACAGG